rnacentral:rRNA from 1 species
AACAAGGUCUCCGUAGGUGAACCUGCGGAGGGAUCAUUACUGAGUUUUUAACUCUCCAAACCAUGUGAACUUACCACUGUUGCCUCGGUGGUCGGUGCUGGAAACAGUGCUGCCACCGGUGGACUACUAAACUCUUGUUAAUUUUUGUCAAAUCUGAAUCAAAACUAAGAAAUAAGUUAAAACUUUCAACAACGGAUCUCUUGGUUCUGGCAUCGAUGAAGAACGCAGCGAAAUGCGAUAAGUAAUGUGAAUUGCAGAAUUCAGUGAAUCAUCGAAUCUUUGAACGCACAUUGCGCCCAUUAGUAUUCUAGUGGGCAUGCCUGUUCGAGCGUCAUUUCAACCCUUAAGCCUAGCUUAGUGUUGGGAGACUGCCUAAUACGCAGCUCCUCAAAACCAGUGGCGGAGUCUGUUCGUGCUCUGAGCGUAGUAAUUUUUUAUCUCGCUUCUGCAAGCCGGCCAGACGACAGCCAUAAACCGCACCCUCUCGGGGGGCACUUUUUUAAUGGUUGACCUCGGAUCAGGUAGGAAUACCCGCUGAACUUAAGCAUA